AGCCUCAGGACGUUAAUGAUCUGAGGUUAAACCUGCCCAAUGUAGUAUUUUAUGAAUGGCCGCGGUACUUUGACCGUGCUAAGGUAGCGCAAUCAAUUGGCUUUUAAUUGAGGCCAUGUAUGAAUGGAAUCACGGAGUUUAGCUGUCUCUUAGUUAAUAUAUCGAAAUUACUAUUUAGGUGAAAAAGCCUAAGAAAAGAAAAAGGACGAGAAGACCCUUAGAGUUUUUCUAAAAUUAGGAUCUUUCCUAAAAAAGUUUAGUUGGGGCAACAUAGGAGCAUAAUUAGUAUAAUUUAAACCUCCUGUAAGAUACUUACCGAUUUUAAUAAAUAUGAAUAAACUACCUUAGGGAUAACAGCAUAAUUUUAUAAAUAAGUUUGUGACCUCGAUGUUGGACUAGGAAACUAAGGGGCUAGCCGCCUCUUAGGAAAGUUCUGUUCGAACUAUUAUUCCU
rnacentral:rRNA from 1 species